rnacentral:rRNA from 1 species
CUCCUACGGGAGGCAGCAGUGGGGAAUAUUGCGCAAUGGCCGCAAGGCUGACGCAGCGACGCCGUGUGUGGGAUGAAGGCCUUCGGGUUGUAAACCACUGUCAGGGGGGACGAAUACCCGGCCUCGAAUAGGGGACCGGGGGUGACGGUACCCCCAGAGGAAGCACCGGCUAACUACGUGCCAGCAGCCGCGGUAAUACGUAGGGAGCGAGCGUUAUCCGGAAUUAUUGGGCGUAAAGAGUGCGUAGGCGGUUUAUUAAGUCAAAUGUGAAAGCCCACAGCUUAACUGUGGAGGGUCAUUUGAAACUGGUAAACUUGAGUACGGUAGAGGCAAGUGGAAUUUCUUGUGUAGCGGUAAAAUGCGUAGAUAUAAGAAGGAACACCAGUGGCGAAGGCGGUUCUCUGGGCCUGUAUUGACGCUGAGGAGCGAAAGCGUGGGGAGCAAACAGGAUUAGAUACCCUGGUAGUCCACGCCGUAAACGUUGGGUACUAGGUGUGGCGAUCCGUCUAACGAUUGCCGUGCCGAAGCUAACGCAUUAAGUACCCCGCCUGGGGAGUACGGCCGCAAGGCUAAAACUCAAAGGAAUUGACGG